AUUGAACGCUGGCGGCAGGCUUAACACAUGCAAGUCGAACGAAGAUGAGGUGCUUGCACCUUAUCUUAGCGGCGGACGGGUGAGUAAUGCUUAGGAAUCUGCCUAUUAGUGGGGGACAACAUUCCGAAAGGAAUGCUAAUACCGCAUACGUCCUACGGGAGAAAGCAGGGGAUCUUCGGACCUUGCGCUAAUAGAUGAGCCUAAGUCGGAUUAGCUAGUUGGUGGGGUAAAGCCCUACCAAGGCGACGAUCUGUAGCGGGUCUGAGAGGAUGAUCCGCCACACUGGGACUGAGACACGGCCCAGACUCCUAUGGGAGGCAGCAGUGGGGAAUAUUGGACAGUGGGGGGAACCCUGAUCCAGCCAUGCCGCGUGUGUGAAGAAGGCCUUAUGGUUGUAAAGCACUUUAAGCGAGGAGGAGGCUACUGAGACUAAUACUCUUGGAUAGUGGACGUUACUCGCAGAAUAAGCACCGGCUAACUCUGUGCCAGCCGCCGCGGUAAUAC
rnacentral:rRNA from 1 species